CACGUGGGUAACCUGCCCAUAAGAGGGGGAUAACAUCCGGAAACGGGUGCUAAUACCGCAUAGUUUUCUUGAUCGCAUGAUCGGGAAAGGAAAGACGGCCUUUGUGCUGUCGCUUAUGGAUGGACCCGCGGCGUAUUAGUUAGUUGGUGAGGUAACGGCUCACCAAGACGAUGAUACGUAGCCGACCUGAGAGGGUGAUCGGCCACAUUGGGACUGAGACACGGCCCAAACUCCUACGGGAGGCAGCAGUAGGGAAUCUUCCGCAAUGGACGAAAGUCUGACGGAGCAACGCCGCGUGAGUGAAGAAGGUUUUCGGAUCGUAAAACUCUGUUGUCAGAGAAGAACACGUUGGAGAGUAACUGCUCCAGCCUUGACGGUAUCUGACCAGAAAGCCACGGCUAACUACGUG
rnacentral:rRNA from 1 species